GGACAUAUUCCUAUGAGUUUAUAUAUCACGUAUUGAUAUAGCAAAAAAGAGUAUCAGUUGACAUUUAAGAUUUAAUAAGGCCUCGUGGAAGAGACGAUCACCAAUUUAAUUUUCCAGCCUUCUCCAAACAAUAUCAGAACAGGUCAAAUUUUCCCUCUGAAACAAACGUAAUAUAACCAACUGGACCCAGAAGGAACUCUAACAAAUCUUUUGCUUUUUUCCUUUAAAAGAAAAAAGGCAGACUUCCAGGCAUUCCAGUUUGAUAAAGUGAGAUUGGAAUACCCCACAAAUGAAACAGCUUCUUUGAACCUGAAAUCGUUCCAACAGAAAACAAAUUCUGAAAGAACAAAUCAUCAUGUUCUGAGGAAGCAAGAAGAACCCAUCGGUGAAUGCUUUUACUUAAUGAGACUGAAUCUAAUGUACUCAAAUUUCCUAAGAUCCCCUUGAAAUCUCACUGACAUUCCCAAUAAAAAUCCAGAAGCUGACUCUGAAAAGCCCCAUUCAGCUACUUGCUACUUCACCUUCAAAAGCAGAUGCAAAAGAGACAAAUCCAACUCAAAGUGACAGCCGAUUCCAAAAAGAAAACGACAUAUAUAAAUCAACGGCCAAAAGGGUUUGGAAAAAAG
rnacentral:lncRNA from 1 species